rnacentral:rRNA from 1 species
GCUUGUCUCAAAGAUUAAGCCAUGCAUGUCUAAGUAUAAGCAUUUAUACAGUGAAACUGCGAAUGGCUCAUUACAUCAGUUAUAGUUUAUUUGAUAGUCCCCACUACUUGGAUAACCGUAGUAAUUCUAGAGCUAAUACAUGCGUCAAGUCCCUACCGCGCGAGCGGGAAGGAUGUGUUUAUUAGAUACAACCAACCCUUCGGGUCCCUGGUGAAUCAUAAUAACCGAACGAACCGCAUGCUUCGGCGGCGGUGGUUCAUUCAAGUUUCUGCCCUAUCAUGCUCUCGAUGGUAGUGUAUUGGACUACCAUGGCUCUCACGGGUAACGGGGAAUUAGGGUUCGAUUCCGGAGAAGGAGCCUGAGAAACGGCUACUACAUCUAAGGAAGGCAGCAGG